UACGGCCAUAUAGCCUUGAAAAAUGAAUUCCCGUACAAUCACCGAAGUAAAGCAACAUUGAGCCUGGUCAGUACCAAGAUGGGUGACCGCUUGGAGAUAGCAGGUGCUGUAA